rnacentral:rRNA from 1 species
AGAUACCCUGGUAGUCCACGCUGUAAACGAUGAUCACUCGUUGUUGGAUGGUAACAUUCAGUGGCCAAGGGAAACCGAUAAGUGAUCCACCUGGGGAGUACGAUCGCAAGGUUGAAACUCAAAGGAAUUGACGGGGGCCCGCACAAGCGGAGGAGCAUGUGGUUUAAUUCGAUGAUACGCGAGGAACCUUACCCGGGCUUGAACGUAAGACGAAUAUAGUGGAAACAUUAUAGCCUACGGGCGUCUUGCGAGGUGCUGCAUGGUUGUCGUCAGCUCGUGCCGUGAGGUGUUAGGUUAAGUCCUGCAACGAGCGCAACCCUUACACAUAGUUGCCAGCAUGUUAAGAUGGGGACUCUAUGUGAACUGCCUACGCAAGUAGAGAGGAAGGUGGGGAUGACGUCAAAUCAGCACGGCCCUUAUGUUCGGGGCUACACACGUGCUACAAUGGCAUGUACAGAGGGCAGCCACCAUGCGAAUGGGAGCCAAUCCUCAAAACAUGUCUCAGUUCGGAUUGGAGUCUGUAACUCGACUCUAUGAAGUUGGAUUCGCUA